AUGUUAUUGCGCAUACACUCAAGCCACAUCGGAGGUGAGGUUUGCUACAGACAAGCUUGUGAUACUCUUUACUAGGCAUGUGCAUGGGAAAAUUUUUUGGUUAGGUUCGGCAUUUGGAAAUUCGGGACCGCGAGUAGGGGCAUGUCUAGUAAACAGCCUGUGGCUGCUCACUUAAAAAAAAAAAAAUAAUAAUUUUUUAAAAAAGGGUCCCUAUUGUCCUCCC